AAACAAGGGAAACGUUUCUUUCAACAAUGUCAUUCAUCUAGAUUUUGUAUGACAUAUGACUUAUCGGAAACAAGGUAAUAUUUCUAAAUUGUUUUGCUAUUUUGUUCUUCCAUGCUCUUCAAUUUCGUGCUUUAUUUGGCCUUUUAAACAUUUUUUAGAUUUGAGCGUCACUAAUGAGUCUUUUGUAGACGAAACAUGCGUCUUGCGUAAAUACACAAUUUUAUAAUCCUGGUAUCUUUGAUGAGUUUAUUUGCUAUUAUAAAUAAUGACUAUGACAAACAUAUUAUAAGCACAAAGUUAUGAGAAUAAAUUUUGCAUUGUUUGUAACAAAGGGAUGGGCAUAGAGAUGAAAGACAACAUCAAAAAGUAAAAUAACAAAAAUGCUGAACUCCGAGGAAAAUUCAAAAUGGAAUGUCCCUAAUCAAAUGGCAAAACCAAAACUAAAACAUCAAACGAAUUGAAACUAUUUUUCUAUCUACCUUCCUACCUUCCUACCAAGUGUGUUCUUCAGAGGAUCAGGAAACAAGUGUAUAUUUGUUCACCUUAAUAUUCAUUAACACAGUUGUCAAGACCUUUACUUGUUCGAAAUUAUAUUAAAAACAUUCUAUAUGGCAUAUGACCUUUACACAUGAAAAACAUACACGUACUGGCUUAAGCUGUAUGUAAACAAUAAAACAACAGUGAGAUGUUUUGUCCACUGGUAUACUUAUCUUGUACACUGGUAACAGGUGCUUUAAUUAUGUAUAUGUACAUAAAUUGACAUGUACGAAAAUAUGUAGUUACGUUGUGAAAAACAUGAAACACAUAGCUAUAAUAUAGUUAACAAAUCAUAAAGUUAUGAAAUUCAAAACCUUUGGAGAAUUUUGAAUAGGAAAUCCGGACAGGUGAGUUUUUUUUUUUAUUUUUUCGUUUUAUUUCUAUCUUUGAGAUUUCAAUACAGCGUCUUAGUAAGGGGACGACCAUUUGAUAUUCUAGGGGGUGGGGGUGGGGGGGGGGGGCAGGAGGAUUUUGAAAAUAAAUAACUCAGCCUUGAUAAUCACAAAAAUAAAUGGUUUGUUCUGUGGAAGUUUGAAAAUAAAUUACCUGACUUGCAAUGUAUAGAAAAUAAAUAACUCAGCAGGUCUAAUCGAAAGUAUGAGAUGACACCAGAUUCUUCAUAAAUUCAUCUUUUUUCCCAAAAAAAAAAAAUCCGGAAACACUUCCCAAAUUUUAUAAUAACAAAAGUAUAAAUAUUAUUAAAAUAUACUUGAAAUGUCUGAAAAUUGGUUUCAUUUUACUUGAGGUAUAUUGUCUCAGGAAACCUUACCUCACUUUUAUUUUAACAGGGCCGUAACUACAUGUAGGAAAUUUCAAAACCAAAUGCUCGUUUCCAUAUCAAAUUGUGUUCACGGCCUUGCAAGAAGAAAGUUCUGUUUUCCCUCAGACUUAUAGCCCUGAUUUUUCAGGAUCAAUGUUUCUUAUUUAUUUGUCCUUUGUUCAUUGAUUGCCCUUCUGUAUUCUGUUAGUGUUGCAAUCUUUUUGUAAUCUAGUAAUUUUGUUAUAAAGUUGAUCAUGAGUUUAAAAAAAAACAGCAGCCCCAGACUUAACUAUGUGAAUUCCAUUUUUGCUUUAUCAUGCACAUUGGUCUUUUGAUGUUGUUCCUAGAAACUUCAGUCUUACACUGAAUUUAUACAUUUUGCUUUGAGAUCAAAAUAUUGUCAAAAAAUUAUUAAAACAAAACUUCAUUUUUAGAUUAUGAAAGGGUCUUUGGAACACCCAGAAAGCAUGAUUUUGCAUCAUUUGUUCUAUAGCUUCUUCGGCCUUCUGCUCUAAAACCCUUCAAAAAAAUUUUGACUCGCUCCACUCGGCGUAGUAUGUUUGCCAAUACAUUUAAAAAAGUGCCUAGUUAUAACUUAACUUUAAUACUAUGUAUGUAUGCAAUACAUGUAUAUGCAGUUGGGAAUUUAAAAGAUUCAUUUCUGCAGAAGGGGGUGGUUAAUCUUUUCUGAACCAUUUAAUUUUAUGUAAUUGAAUGGUACAUAAUGACUUGACGAUACUAUAGCGAGGCAAAAAAAUUUUUAUAUGUAUUAUUUAUAAUAAAAAAAUCAUUUAAAAAUUGUAUGUUUUCGAAUAUCAAAAAUAUAGUUGUGAAAAUGAAUAAUCAGUCCCUUGCUUUAAUGAAAAUGAAAAAUCUUGCUUCAAUAGUGCAGAAAAUGAAUAAUCUGUCCUCUUAGUUUACAAAAAUAAAUAACCGAUCAAAAACAAAUCCUCCUGCCCCCUCCUACCCCCCCCCCCCCCCAGAAAAUCAAAUGGUCGUCCCCUAAGUGUUUAUAAAUCGAAUUUGUCUAAUAAUGAAGUUCGUUUUUGAUAUAUUUUCUGGUGCGUGUUAUAUAGAAUUAUAACACAUAAUAAACCAAUCUAGAAACAAGUGAUGUUAUCUCCCAUGAAGGCUACGAGCUCGUGAUCUGUCUACCGUUAUGGCUAAGACUGCGUCCUGUUGUCGACCAUAACGGCUACAAGUGCGUGCUGUUGUCUUUCAAAACUGUGCUAUACUUCUUUCUGCUUUCUACGAAUUUUUAUAUCAAAACUGGUCACAGUGCUCAUACUGUUACUCUCAACCAAGGACGUAUGUGAGUUAUAUGUCCUUGUAUCAACUUAAUUCAUUAUGAUAAUACUAUUAUAUAAGAAUACUUAUAUCAAUGAGUUCAUCGAGGAAGCAGAGUAAGUGGACAUGAUUAUGUUCGGAUUCAUUGCAUUACUCAAAAUGGAAAUAACACUAUCAAUGUUAUGUGUCCGAAUUUGAAGCUCAUUACUAGAUUAAUGUUCACCAGAAACGCUCUAAGCCAAGAUGUUGAAAGCCGGUUGAAUAAAUAGCAAAACAGGGAAAUUUGAAAUAGUAACAAGAUCUGUCUAAUGCCAUCUUUGCCUGCUGGCGUUGGAUCCUUAUGAAUAAACUCAUCAUAGAUACCAGGACUAAAUUUUGUAUAUACGCCAGACGCGCGUUUCGUCUACAAAAGACUCAUCAGUGACGCUCAGAUCCAAAAAAGUUAAAAAGGCCAAAUACAUACUCAAAAAUCAGUGGUCAAAAAAGAUUUUUUGUAAUACUUAGGAAUACAUACUCAUAAAAACGGUAGCUGCUAUGAUCAUUUAAUACUUAAUAAUGAUUACGAGUACAUAUGCAAGAAGCAGGAUACUUGGCUAUUAUCAUCUUUAGAUUUAUUUUUCUGCAUCAAAAUACAUACACAGUAAUCAGGGUAAAUGGCUGUUUUCAUGUUCAGAUAAAAUUGAGAAAGGAAAUUGGGAAUGUGUCAAAGCGACAACAACCCGACCAUAGAGCAGACAACAGCCGAAGGCCACCAAUGGGUCUUCAAUGUAGCGAAAAACUCCCGCACCUGUAGGCGUGCUUCAGCUGGCCCCUUAAAAAAUGUAUACUGGUAAAUUGAUAAUGAACGUUAUAUUAAACUCCGAAUUAUACACAAGAAACUAAAUUUAAAAUCCAUUGUUAUAUAUAAAAACAUAUUCACAGGAAGCAAAGUAUUAAGCAAUAAUCCUAUUCAGAUUCAUUAUAAUACAGAUGAGAAUGCAUACACAGGAAGCAAAGUAUUAAGCAAUAAUCCUAUUCAGAUUCAUUAUAAUACAGAUGAGAAUGCAUACACAGGAAGCAGAGUGAGUGGCUGCUAUACUUUUAGAUUGACAUACAAGAUAAAUUAAACAGAGGAGGCAGAAUACGUGGUUAUUCAUUGUUAUACAGGAGAAUGCAUACUCAGGAAGUAUGACAUGUGGCUAUGGUCAUGUUCAGAUUAAUUGUAUUUGGUGUAAAUGUACUCAUUGUAAUAUGAAACAAACGGUACAUUGGAAGGUCCAUGUUAUUUUCGGGAUACAUUUUUUAGUAAUCUGAUAAACAAAUUUGAGAUAUAUUUACAAAUGUCAACAGUGUAAUGAGAAAGUGCAAAUGUUGGUGUAGAAUAUUGGGGUUCUCUAGUAAAACGGUUUUUAUAUUGUUGUUUUCUUUGAUUGGUUUUCAUUCAGUUAUUUAAAUACUUUUUGCACUGGGCUGGUGAUACCCUCUGGACCAACCCCGGUAUUUGGUGGGCGUUUGUGGUUUAACUUUUUUUUUUGCAUUGGUAGUUUUGAGAUUUGCUUCAGUGUAUACAGCGUCUUUUUAUUAUUUAUUUAUUCAAUUUCCUUUUAAUAACGGAUGUCAAGUUGGUUCAACAUUUUUAGCAUUCAACAUUCAACAUACUCCAUAUUUUGGUAGAAAUAAAAACAAAAACAACACAACAUUUGCUUUUCUUCCGUGUAACUUUAUAUUGUGACUUGUUACUUGUUAAAAUCUGUCGGGUUCAGGACCAAUCCAGCAUAACUUAUUAUAAUUCAUUGUAAUAAAUUCAAUUUUCAUGAACAUGUAUUUAGAGUUAUCAAGAAUUGUUUUACUAGUAAUCAAUGUAUGAAAAUAAUUUUUUGUUGUCCGAAACUAAUAGACUCAAACCUUGGAUCACAAUAUUUGGUAGAUGGUUUUCUUUUAAGUAAAGAAGGUCUACAAGAGUAUAAAUGGAUUUAGUAGUUUCUGUGAAAAUUUGCAACUUGUUAUUAAUAUGAGAUCAUAUAAAUAAAACUAAAAUAAUGAUUUUACAGCAACCAAUUGCCAAAAGGGUAUGUUAAUUUCUUAACUACAAUGGUAAUAUGAUAAAAAAUGUAUUAGAAUAUAAAUUCAUAGGAACUCCUAUAAAGAGUAAUAGUAAACCUACUUCAAAUAUAGAAAACAUAGCAAGAAAAGUCAUGUAUUUGAUUAAAGCCAAUGUAGCUUCAUUGUGAAAUCUACCAAUAGAAAUGUUUAGUAAUCUUUUUGCUAAAGAAGUUCAAACAACCCGGAGAUACUAAGUAUACCAUAUAUGGAUAGCUAUUCAUUUUAUCCCUGGUGUUCAUUUCUUUUAGAGUUAUUAUAUCUUUGCUAUAUCAUAAUUUGUUUUUGUUUUUGUUUUUUCCACAAACUAUUUAAGUUUAUAUGACAAUAAAAAUAUUGUAUGAUAUGUUGAUCGUAUGUUUUUCAUUUUGUAAUAUUAGGAAUUGUUCGAAUUUAAUUUUUACGUAUGGGGGUACAGCUAGGGAUAUAUAUAUUCUCAUAUACAUGAAAAUCAAAUUCGAACAAUCCUUAUUAAUUCAAAUAGGGAAACAUAUGGUCAGGGAUACAUUAAGGGACAGGCUUAGGUCCAUACGACAUUAUCAGAAAACCUUUUUAUGCCCCAUUUAUGGGCAUUAUUAUGCGACAUUUAUGGGCAUUAUGUUUUCUGGUCUGUGCGUCCGUUCGUCCGUCCGUUCGUUCAUCCGUCUGUUCGUUCACCGUCUGUCCCGCUUCAGGUUAAAGUUUUUGGUCGAGGUAGUUUUUGAUGAAGUUGAAGUCCAAUCAACUUAAAACUUAGUACACAUGUUCUUUAUGAUAUGAUCUUUCUAAUUGUAAUGCCAAAUUAGAGAUUUUACCCCAUUAUCACGGUUCACUGAACAUAGAAAAUAAUAGUGCGAAUGGGGCAUCCGUGUACUUUGGGCACAUUCUUGUUUAUACAGAGCUGAGUGUGUAUUGUUAAGUGUAUAAAUUUUAUACAACAAGAGACACAGACUCAGCUCUGUGAUUUUUUUCUAAGGAUACACACAUUAUCAAAAUUACAAGCACGUGCGAGUUUCAUUCAAAGCAAAAAAAUGAAUGAACCAAUUAGGGAUAACUCUGAAUGAAUGGUCUUAGAAAAUUUAAUCAAUUACAUAGGAAUCUAAUAAGAUAUAUAUUGGAAUGGUCCUGGACGCGACUGAUUUUAAUAUGUCUCUAUUAUUGGAAUCCUUCUCCGAAUUAGGGACCACUCUAUUAUCAAUGGAAAGACCCAAAUGGUCAACGAUUUUAAGUUUCUACUAAUGAUUGUCAAAAUGCUUACAUUCCAAUUUUCAAUAACAGUUAACAGCAAAUCCAUUCUCACAGUAACAGCUAGAAAAAAAAUAGUUCUAUAACAGGUAACAAGGAAUAAUACAAUAACAGCUAACACAAUUUUUUUCUCCCGAAUAACAGAUAACAAAGAAACAAAUUGCCCCAAAAAAGCAUAACAGUUAUACCCCUUGAGUACUUCAUGAAGUAAAGUAAUAUCUGCUUCUGUUUCAUGUCACUUAAAGUUAAAGUGAUUAGCGUUCGUGUAUUUAAAAACAUACGUAUAUAAACAGUAAAUAAGAAUUACAAAAGUAUCACACAGUAGAACUGACCACUGCAAUUGUUUAUACGUACAGCUAAACAACACAUUGUCCGUGUACCCUAAUUUGGUAGCGGAACAGUAUGUGAUACAGCGAAUCACAAUUUAUAAUCUGGAUAUCCCUGGAAAGCGUCUUAUUGUGUGGUUUGCUUCGAUCCAUAAAAUCAUUAUCUUCAUUUGUAACUGUUUUUUUAUACAUUAUUCAGUAUACAUAAUAUGUACUUUUUAAACUUUCUAACAAUCAUGUUGUAUUGAUUUCAAAUAAAACAUCAAAGUAACAUGUAACUGAUUGAAAUCUUUUUCGAAAUAGGAUUCUUUUUCAAAUAACAUCAAAAUAAUCAAUGAUAAUUGAAUAACAUUUUUCUUUAUAAAAAUUCAUAAACUAUCAAAAAAUUAAUUGAUAUGGGAUGACACAAAAUCGGUUCAUGCACAGCAGCAACAAAAGGACACAAAACCAAAGGAACAGCGCACUUUAAAACACCGUGCCAUUUAUUUGCUAAGGAACUUUACAUUUAGAAUUAUCCUCAGAGUAAGUUUGUUUUGUUAUUUUCUUUUUUUUAAAACAAAAAUAAAAACAAAUUAGAAAGAAAUAAGAUAUAAAUAACGACCUCACCUCGUCUCCACAUGAAUAAUCUGAUUUUUAUAUUGUUUAUCAAACUGUAUGUGAGGAUCCGGUCAGUCUGUAAUAAAGACAACAGUAGUAAACCGAUGUUCAAAACUCAGAGAUCGAUAGAAAAAAUCAAAACCUGCCCCGGCUAUCCACUAGUAAAUAUGUUUAAAUUUAUAUAUAACAAUCAAUAUAAGUGUCUAUAAAACAAUAUUCAAGGAUAUUAUUACAGUACUAAAUUGAACAGCUUUAAUAAUAAGUUAAUGGGGUUUGUGUUGUUUAUUCUUUAGUUUUCUAUGUUGUGUCAUGUGUGCUGUUGUUUGUUUGUCUUUUUCAUUUUUAGCCAUGGCGUUGUCAGUUUGUUUUAGAUUUAUGAGUUUGACUGUCCUUUGGUAUCUUUCGUCCCUCUUUUAUAUCUUUCUAAAAGGAUUGACGAGUUACAUAGAUCAAUUCUAAAGUUGACAGACUCUAUACACCACAUCACCGUAAACGAUUACGAUGCGACACACGUUUUACAGCCUAACAUACAUCAUCAUGUAUACAGGUUCUUCAAGACAGAAAUUUUACAAAGAAUAUAUAUUUAUUCCAAAGAAAGUCAAGUAUUUCUCGAAAGGUAAUUUAAUUCGUUUAAUUAUCAUUAUUUCCUAAAAGUUCACUUCAUGAAUUUGUUUCAAUAAUGAUCACAAUUUGGAUUCACCUAACAAGGGAUAAUCGAAAGAUGAUGGGCCAGUGAUACUUUAACUUAGACUUUGAGAGUUAUCUUCAUUUGACGAGUUUUUAAUAAGUGAAGGUGCUGAAGGACCUUUAUUUUAUUUAUCUUUUUAGAAAUAUUUACCUUAGAAUAAAACGAAAGGAAGGUGCCUGCUAAUUCUAAACACUAAAAGUAUCAAAUGAGUUAAUUUUGUUCGAUUUCAAAAUUACUGAAGACUUUUUUCGAUUGUGUAUAUUUUACUUGUUUUAUUUCUCGGUAAUGCUCUAUUCAUAUAUGUAUUUUUUACUUGUUUUAUUUCUCGGUAAUGCUCCAUUUAUAUAUGUAUUGCAUACCUCAGUAAAAAAAUAACCUUAUACAGUCUUUGCGCUUAACCACAGGCCCACCAGCCCAGGCUUGUAAAAAUGCUGUCAGGCCUGUAAAAAUAAUCUCUACAGGCUAAUAGAAUCUAACUAAAAUUUUCGUAAAAUUCAGCUUUGGGCCUGUAGAUUCAAAAGUUUAUCGUGAAGACUGCUUUAUAUUCACAAUCGACAAAGAUAAAAUAUUUAAUUAAUAUAAAAUUAAAACACUCAGUUUGCUACUAAAUACGAACACAAAUAGUCAAACAAUAAUCAAAUUAAAUACAAAUAUCGAAAAUUUACAAAAAAUAUUACAAUGUAAGACGAUAUGCCUCGAUGAUCCCCUUUAAAUAAGUAUACAAUUCUCAUAGUCGGAAAAAAUUAUGCUCAACUCAAUUUUAUUCAUUCAAAUAUAAGGUUUAUAUCAAAGAAAACAAAUAAAAGCAACAGUUCACACACAAUUGCUAACAUUGCUUCUGUAAUUAUACAACUCACUUUUGCCAUGUAUAUAAAUCAUUAUUUUCAUAAUGUCAUAUUCUUAAAGGGGCACUAGCUACGAGAUAUAUAAAAAAUCUAAAGUUUGAUUUUUUUUUCUGUUCAAUCAAUAAUGAAAGUGAAAUAGUGAAAUAACAAUUCGCUUUUUGCAGCCAAAAAGGUUCAAUUUUGUCAAAUUACGCUAAGAAACAUUGAUGAUUACUAAUUCACUUGCAAGUGAAUGAGUCGACCUCUUUAAAUCCGUAUUCAUGUGAACUUCAAUUUAACCCCUAGCUAGAGAUUGACAACGCAUGCAUUGUACACGUACGGGUUAUUUAAAGAAAAAGAAUGUCAACAAUGAAAGUGAAACUACGGUAAAUCAUUUGAUUACUAAUUCGAUGCACAUAAAAUCAUUCUUAUACGGUUAAAAACAAUGAGAAACAUCUAUGUUUAAUCUAUAAAAUAAAAUCAAACAGACCUAUAAAAAUCCAAUUGCACGUGUUGGUUUAAUCUAUUCAUAUCUUUAUUUAUGUUUACAUCGCUUAUAUGGUCAUCUGAGGUCAAAUCGAUAGGUAAUUAGAUGGCGUCUGGACUAAAAUACACACGAAACGAACCUAUAUAUUAUCUACCCCAUGCUCUGUAAACUGUUUAUUUUAGACUUUUGAUAGUUUGGAUAAAUGUUUUACAUUGUUAUAAAUCAAAUAUGAGAAUUUGAGUCAAAUCGGUGACCUUGAAUUUGACAGCUAGUGCCCCUUUAAAGAGAUACUCGAUAUUAAAUGUUUCCCUUUACGCAUUGAAAUAAAGCUAGGGAAAAAAACUAGAAAACAUAUCAGAAGUUGCAUUAAACAUUUGGCGGACAUUAUUUCUUCAAUUAUAUAUGAAAAAUACAUGCUGAUUGGUAUUUUUGUGAGUUUGGUACUGUAUUGCAACACUAACAGUGAAAACAAUGUAAAAUGACAAGAUUAUAGAAUGUGUAUAAUUUAAAAGUAUUUGGGGUAAAACCAAAAUUAUUCACAUUCUACAAUCAUGUCAUUUUACAUUGUUUUCAAUGGAAGUGUUUCAAUACUUUUUUCCAGGUGUAUAGAUGGUUAAAGUGUAACGUAGCUUGAUAAUUAUUUCUGCCACUUGCCCUUGUUCUAAUUGAUUACACCAAUCAUAUCACCAGUGGGUGAGAUAGCCCACUCAUUCUAGUGUAUCAAUAAUGCACUUCUUGAUUUACCUUAUACAUAUGCAUUGAUUAGAACACUGACAUUUCUUUGAAUAACAAAGCCACGUGCGGCCAUGUGUUACACUUCAAUAACAAAGAAAGAAAUCAAACGAACAUUUAUUUGUGUAUUUAUGAGGGUCUAGCGGUUGAGUAUUUAUUUCUAUGUUUCACAUAAACUUAGGACUUUUUUUUUAUUAUGUAUUUGUUUUGUUCAUCAUUUUCUCAUUUCUUUAUAUUUUAAAAGUACCUUAUUAUUCUCAAUUCAUCUCUAUAAAGUGUAAGAACUCCUUAUUCCAAUUCUUUAUACAUCGUUAACGAUCUCCUUAUUCUAAUUUCUUUUAAUAUAGUUAAAGACGUCAAUAUUCUGAAUUCCUUAUACAUAGUUUAAGACAUUCCUAUUCUCAAUUGCUUAUAUAUAGUCUAAGACCUUUUUAUUCUCUAUUUUAUAUAUAUAGUUUAAGACUUCCUUACUCAUAUUUUUUCAUAUAGAGUUUAAAAUCUCCGUAUUCUCAUUUUUAGUGUAUAGUUCAAAAAACCUUAUUUUCUUUUUCUAUAUAUUGUUUAAGACCUCUUUAUUCUCAAUGCUUUAUAUAUAGUUUUAAGCCUCCUUAUUCUCAUUUUUGUAUAAAUAUAUAUUGUAUAAGAUCUUCUUAGUCUCAAUUCUUUAUAUAUAGUUUAAGACAUCCUUGAUUCUCAAUUAUUUAUAUAUAUAUAUAUAUAUAUAUAUAGAUCCCAUUUCUGUACACUAAAAAUAAAUACUUCGUGUAUUCUAUCAUAAGCUAGAGUUAGAGGAGGGGAUACGGUCUCUGCGCAAUGCUAGGCAGUGUUGUCGUAGAAGUUAGAAAAUAAAGUACAAGUUCCAGGGGAGGAAGUUACGAAUCAAAUCUACUCUAACAUCGUUAGGUUGAUUUUCUAGACACUUUAUAUAUAUAUAUAUAUAUAUAGUUGCAGACCUCCUUACUCUUAAUUUUUUAUUUAUUUGGUCCAUUAUCUCUUUAAAAACUAUAACCACCAUUCCCAUUCCUGAAAAAUGCAUCCAUAUCUCCAUUUUGGAUGACUGUUUCUCGGUUUUGAAACAUUCAGUUUUGAUUGGAUAGUUUUGAUGAAUUAAAUUUUAUGUUGUUUAAUCUUGGGUUUCAAAUUGACAACUUCAUAAACUGUUGAUGGUGUAAAAAAGUAAAAUGACAAAUAUCAAACAGCAAGGAAAAUUCAAAACGGAAUGUUCCUCCUUAUCAAAUGACAAAACUAAAAGGUGAUACACAUCAAACCAAUGGAAAACAUCGGUCAUAAUCCUUACUUGCAAUUGGUACAGGCCUUUCCUUAUGUAAAAAAAUUGUCGAUUAAAUCUGGUUUUUUAACUAGCUUAAACUCUCACUUCCAUACAACAUGAACUUUUAAUGUGCAAUAUUAUUUUUAUGUGAUAAAAUAGAUUUCAUCUGAAAUUAUGUGUUCGUUCGUUGUAAUUUGAUCUGAACAUUUACGGAAUGACUAUAAUAUAGUUACUGUCUUUUCGAAUUAUAUCAAAAAUAUGAUGCACACUGCAUAACCGUGUGCACCACAUUUUUUAAGCUAUUUUGAAAAAGCCAAACAGUGUUACAGUAAUUCCUUAUAAUUUAAUUUUAAAUGGCAUUUGGAUCCAGGUUAAAUUAUAAAAAAAAAACGUUGCUGAUGUCACGGUCACAUUACAAAAUUAUGUCUAUGAGCUGAUAGACAAAACACUGUCAGUUAAUCGAAAGACAAUGCAAAAUUAAAAAUGUAAAGAAGCUAUGUUGGUGCAACUUGUUAAGUAUUCACCUACAUGUAGACACAACUUCAAUGUUAAUGCGGAUGCUCUCUAUAAAUAUUAUUCUACUGAUGAUAAACUGACUUAUAAUAUAAAAAGAUGUGCCACUGAGACAUCUCUCCACAAGAAACCAAAUGACAUGGAAGGUAACAACCAUAGGUCAUCGUACGUCAUUCAACAAUGAUAAUUACAAUUGGUUAAACACAUAUCGUAUUCCUAUCAUGCCAUUUUUGUCAUGAUCCUCAGUUUUCACACGAAUUGCUAAAUAAUAAAACACACCACGAACAACUGAAUUGCUUCAUUUAUUCACGCUUCUUUUAAAUAAUAAACUUGUUCAUGAUGACAUUUGAAUAUGGCUUGUAACUUGAUUAUUAUGUGUAAAUGAAGGGUUUAUUUAUAAUUAAUUUGGAUGUUUCAGCUGAUUGUCCCGAUAAUAGAAAAGGUUGUGACGUAUUGGCAGACGUACGACGUCAUUGAGAUGUCGAACACUUAUCCCGCCUUUUCCCAACCGACCUGUUACAUUAGUAAAUAACAUUUAAUUGACAUUAACCAUACAUUGCCUCAAUCAAAUACACAUUUUUCCUCGUGCAUGUAGGUUAAGGAACAAUUAAUUUUUGGUCUAAACGAACAUUUACCUUUUUUUUAAUCAUAAUGUAUUCCUCAAUAAAUAAAAGACUUUUAUGAGCACGACACGGAAAAUUGGGAUUAAUAUUGAACCUUUUUUUUUAAAAUAAUAAUGCAAUUCUCAAUAAAUAAAUGAAUUGUAUGUACAUGACACGGAAAAUUGGGUCAAUAUUGGUUGACAUGUUAAUAUGUCUAUAGAAGGAUUAAGUAAGAAUUAUGGCUGAUAACAUUGUUCCCUACCACUAUUUCAAUACAAUUUGAUGGCGAACCGGAUUUCAGUUUUAGAUAGUUGCUUAAAACAUUUGUACAUGUGUGUGCGUGUGUGUUUUUGGGAAAUUAAGGACCACGUUAACUGCGGAUUUAUAACAAGUGCUAAAGACCCAAGAGACAUCAGUUAAUCUACACAUUAAUCCGUCAACAUUGAGAUUUUGAUUUCGAAUUCGAACCAUUCUCGUAGCGAGGUGUGCUCGACUCCACACUUUAUUCGCACGAUUGUGCCAAACUAACAAGAUUCCGUUUAUACUUUUAGAUGAUGUGGACCCUAUUUCUCCAUUGGACACUCUUAAUGAAUAUGGUAUGGAUAUCUACAAGUGAAAAAUUAGUGUAUAUGAAAACGGGUAAUGACUUGAUAAAAAGGAAUAAUUCUAUGGAGAGUAAUGGCGGCUUGUCAAAGAUACGCAGCUAUACUGAUUGUAUUAUUUACGAUUUAGCUGAAGCCGAGGUGAGAAAUUUGUCUUUAACUAAAAUCCGUCAGAACUGUAACGAAUUAUUUAUACAACAGACACAAAUAUGGAAAACAAACAUGAAAGACAGCAAUGUAGCAAACUAUGUCGGCCAUUUAUUAAGAGGAGUACAUUCUGGGAUUGCAGAUUACCAAAAACGGAAGAAGAGGAGUAUAUUUGGUGUUGGAGUUAUGACCAGGAAGGAAAUAAGAGAGCCUCCAUAUGAGGAUAAUUGGGGUCGGUAUGUGAAAGCCGUUAGACGUUUGAAAAAUAGCUAUG
rnacentral:lncRNA from 1 species